rnacentral:rRNA from 1 species
UACGGGGGGAGCAAGCGUUGUUCGGAUUUACUGGGCGUAAAGCGUGCGCAGGCGGUCCGCAAAGUCUGAUGUGAAAGCCCCGGGCUCAACCUGGGAACUGCAUUGGAAACUAACGGGCUCGAGUGUGGCAGAGGGGGGUGGAAUUCCACGUGUAGCAGUGAAAUGCGUAGAGAUGUGGAGGAACACCGAUGGCGAAGGCAGCCCCCUGGGCUAACACUGACGCUCAGGCACGAAAGCGUGGGGAGCAAACAGG